CUUCUUUGGAGUUUUACUGUAAGCCUGGGACAAGGGUAAAUCCAGAGCGUCGUGAUGGGAUCUACAUAUACAACGACCUUCAUUAGCCAAAUUGGAAGGAACGUGUUCUCUGUUUUAAACAGUACCGAUGAACACCCUUUCCUCCUCUGGAGCAGAAGGGGGAUCUGAGGCGGGAUGCAGCCACCUCCGUACCCCCGCACUGCUCGGGCACAGCGUGCCCUUUAGCAUGCGGCCCCGCGGGACGGCUUGCAGCGGCUGAUCCGCUCGGAGGGGUGCGGGAUCCGUGUGCCCAGCCGAGAGAUGCCCUCGUUGCCUCGUGAGCGGGCAGAGUUUGCUGAGCGAGCGCUCGCCGUCCACGCUCCCGGGUUGCCUGUCCCAGAGGACGCCAAUUAAAGGCACUAAUUGGACAGCAAUACAUCAAAGUCCGCCGCUGAGAUCGGCUUCUCUGAGCUCCGGGGGUCCUGUGGGCAGGCUUUUGUUGUAGAGAACAGCGAUGUUCCGGUGUCGGUACACGGCCACGCUUGCAUCCACCCGCCCCAAAUCCCUAUGACUUCCCCGGGGGUGGAUGCCGCCCCCCGGCCCCGCUCCCUUUGGGGCAAGAUGCGGGAAAACCUCACCCCGGGGCCGGCUCUGCAUGCACCCUUCCUGGAAAGAGAGGCGCGGGGCCGGAGCGGUCCUUCUCACAGCCCGGGCACCGCCCGAUGCUGCCUUCCCUGUACAUUGGCAGCGGGUGUCCAUCUGAGCUCCCGGCUUUGGGCACCAGCCUGGAUCUUCAUUCCGAACGGUUUUAGGGUUUCAGGCUCAUCUGUAUCUGUAAGUCUUCAAAAGGGCAGAAGGGAAAAAUGACAGAGUACUCGAUGCGGAGCUGACGGCAGGGAUGGAGUUGGGCGGUUGUUCCCUUUCCACCCCCCCUGCAGCUCCCUUCCUCCCUCCGAGGAUGCGCCGGGGGCGAGGAGGCGGCUCAUCAUUUACUGCCCACGGAGGCAUUUGUUUUUCAUUUUGCAAACGCUUUCCUUUAAGUAAUUGUUCCUGUUAAGAGCGUGUACCUUUCACCGGGCUCCGCCGCACUAUAAAUAAUCCCGAUGAAGAUGCAAGGAUAUGACUUUCACAAGAUUGGACAAUUGAUUAAAACUGUGACCUGCAAUUGCGAAUAAUCUUGGAAGGCUAUUUAAACAGAUGAAGGCCUAAAUUGUCUUGCUUGUAUCUGAAUUAAUUUCUCAUUCAUCAUCAUUAUGGAGUGAUUGGUUCUAUUCAGGCUCUGCAGCCUGCUGGAACGAAACUGGAUUUAAAUGAGACUGUAACACAAUUUAAAUGCUCUCCGGCUUUAACGAGGCCAAUCGAGCAGCUGCAAUAAAUACAAAUAUUUUUCUAAACAGCCUUGUUUUAAAUAAUUACUUAA